rnacentral:snRNA from 1 species
UGAAAGCAGACGAUUUCGGACGG